rnacentral:rRNA from 1 species
GACGAACGCUGGCGGCGUGCUUAACACAUGCAAGUCGAACGAUGAAGAAAAGAAUUGAAGCUUCGGCAGAAAUUCAUUUCGGAUUAGUGGCAGACGGGUGAGUAACGCGUGAGCAACCUACCUCUUACAAAGGGAUAGCCUCGGGAAACCGGGAUUAAUACCAUAUAACAUUGCGACGAAGCAUUUCGCUGCAAUCAAAGCUACGGCGGUAAGAGAUGGGCUCGCGUCCCAUUAACCAGAUGGUGAGGUAACGGCUCACCAUAGUAACGAUGGGUAACCGGCCUGAGAGGGUGAACGGUCACACUGGAACUGAGACACGGUCCAGACUCCUACGGGAGGCAGCAGUGGGGAAUAUUGCACAAUGGAGGGAACUCUGAUGCAGCGACGCCGCGUGAGUGAUGAAGGAAUUCGUUUCGUAAAACUCUGUUCUAUGGGAAGAAAAGGACUGUACCAUAGGAGAAAGCUCCGGCUAAAUACGUG